rnacentral:rRNA from 1 species
AUUGAACGCUGGCGGCAGGCCUAACACAUGCAAGUCGAGCGGUAGCAGGAAGCUGCUUGCUGCUUUGCUGGGGAGUCGCGGGCGUGAGGCCUAUGUCUGGGACACUGCGUGGUGGAUAAGGAUAAGUACUGGACGCUGUAACCACUUCCGCCUAGCGGCAGAAAGCGAAGGAGCUUGGCCUUCCACCCUCUCAGCAUCGCCUAUGUCGGAUUAGCUAGUUGGUGGGGUAAUGGCCUACCUAGGCGACGAUCCGUAGCUGGUCUGAGAGGAUGAUCAGCCACACUGGAACUGAGACACGGUCCAGACUCCUACGGGAGGCAGCAGUGGGGAAUAUUGGACAAUGGGCGAAAGCCUGAUGCAGCCAUGCCGCGUGUAUGAAGAAGGUCUUCGGGUUGUAAAGUACUUUAAGUUGGGAGGAAGGGAAUUAAGUUAAUACCUUGCCGUAUUGACGUUACCAGCAGAAGAAGCACCGGCUAACUUCGUG